rnacentral:rRNA from 1 species
GACGUAGGGCGCGAGCGUUGUCCGGAUUUAUUGGGCGUAAAGAGCUCGUAGGCGGCUUGUUGCGUCGGCUGUGAAAACCCGCGGCUUAACCGCGGGCCUGCAGCCGAUAUGGGCAGGCUAGAGUUCGGUAGGGGAGACUGGAAUUCUCGGUGUAGCGGUGAAAUGCGUAGAUAUCGAGAGGAACACCUGCGGCGAAGGCGGGUUGCUGGGCUGACACUGACGCUGAUGCGCGAAAGCUAGGGGAGCGAACGGG